CAUUUUUUUAAUCUUCUGUUUUUUUGCCUUAAAGGUUUGUUUUACCUGCUGUACAUACUUACCAUAGGUCCAGAUUGGAUCUUAAUACAGAGACUGAGAAAUGCAUGUGUGUGGUCAUUAUGACUUUAUUAAACCAACAAACCUAAUAUUGGACUUUU